GUGGGUAUAGCUCAGUGGUUAGAGCGUCUGUUUGUGGUAUAGAAAGCGCGGGUUCGAUUCCCGCUAUCCGCC
rnacentral:tRNA from 1 species